rfam:Tortispora caseinolytica NRRL Y-17796 unplaced genomic scaffold CANCAscaffold_2, whole genome shotgun sequence.
ACCCUGCUAGCUCAAUUGGCAGAGCGUGAGACUCUUAAUCUCAAGGUUGGGGGUUCGAGACCCCCGUGGGGUG